CCUACGGGGGGCAGCAGUCGGGAAUAUUGCGCAAUGGAGGAAACUCUGACGCAGUGACGCCGCGUAUAGGAAGAAGGUUUUCGGAUUGUAAACUAUUGUCGUUAGGGAAGAUAAAAGACUGUACCUAAGGAGGAAGCCCCGGCUAACUAUGUGCCAGCAGCCGCGGUAAUACGUAGGGGGCGAGCGUUAUCCGGAUUUACUGGGUGUAAAGGGAGCGUAGACGGCGUCGCAAGUCUGAAGUGAAAGCCCGUGGCUCAACCGCGGAACCGCUUUGGAAACUGCGAGGCUGGGGUGCUGG
rnacentral:rRNA from 1 species